rnacentral:rRNA from 1 species
GACGAACGCUGGCGGCGUGCUUAACACAUGCAAGUCGAACGGAAAGGCCCUGCUUUUGUGGGGUGCUCGAGUGGCGAACGGGUGAGUAACACGUGAGUAACCUGCCCUUGACUUUGGGAUAACUUCAGGAAACUGGGGCUAAUACCGGAUAGGAGCUCCUGCUGCAUGGUGGUGGUUGGAAAGUUUCGGCGGUUGGGGAUGGACUCGAGGCUUAUCAGCUUGUUGGUGGGGUAGUUGCUUACCAAGGCUUUGACGGGUAGCCGGCCUGAGCGGGUGACCGGCCACAUUGGGACUGAGAUACGGCCCAGACUCCUACGGGAGGCAGCAGUGGGAAAUCUUGCAGAAUGGGGGGAAGCCUGAUGCAGCAACGCCGCGUGCGGGAUGACGGCCUUCGGGUUGUAAACCGCUUUCGCCUGUGACGAAGCGUGAGUGACGGUAAUGGAUAAAGAAGCACCGGCUAACUACGUG